GAUGAACGCUGGCGGCGUGCCUAAUACAUGCAAGUAGAACGCUGAAGGAGGAGCUUGCUCUUCUGGAUGAGUUGCGAACGGGUGAGUAACGCGUAGGUAACCUGCCUGUUAGCGGGGGAUAACUAUUGGAAACGAUAGCUAAUACCGCAUGACAACAGUUAUUGCAUGAUAACUGUUUAAAAGGGGCAACUGCUCCACUACCAGAUGGACCUGCGUUGUAUUAGCUAGUUGGUGAGGUAACGGCUCACCAAGGCGACGAUGCAUAGCCGACCUGAGAGGUUGAUCGGCCACACGGGAACUGAGACCCGGCCCGGACUCCUACGGGAGGAAGCAGAAGGGAACCUUCGGCAAAGGACGAAAGCCUGACGGAGCAACGCGGCGGGGGUGAUGAAGGUUUCGGAUCGUAAAGCUCUGUUGUAAGAGAAGAACGAGUGUGAGAGUGGAAAGUUCACACUGUGACGGUAUCUUACCAGAAAGGGACGGCUAACUACGUG
rnacentral:rRNA from 1 species